rnacentral:rRNA from 1 species
CACAAGCGGUGGAUGAUGUGGAUUAAUUUCGAUGCAACGCGAAAACCUUAACCUACCCUUGACAUGUCCGGAAUCCCGAAGAGAUUUGGGAGUGCUCGCAAGAGAACCGGAACACAGGUGCUGCAUGGCUGUCGUCAGCUCGUGUCGUGAGAUGUUGGGUUAAGUCCCGCAACGAGCGCAACCCUUGUCAUUAGUUGCCAUCAUUUGGUUGGGCACUCUAAUGAGACUGCCGGUGACAAACCGGAGGAAGGUGGGGAUGACGUCAAGUCCUCAUGGCCCUUAUGGGUAGGGCUUCACACGUCAUACAAUGGUCGGUACAGAGGGUUGCCAACCCGCGAGGGGGAGCUAAUCCCAUAAAGCCAUUCGUAGUCCGGAUCGCAGUCUGCAACUCGACUGCGUGAAGUCGGAAUCGCUAGUAAUCGUGGAUCAGAAUGUCACGGUGAAUACGUUCCCGGGUCUU